rnacentral:piRNA from 5 species
CAAGUGUAGUAUCUGUUCUUAUCAGUUU